rnacentral:lncRNA from 1 species
CUACCUCUGAAAUUUCACUUUGAUGGAGUUGCAGCGGCAGAACAUUUCUUACUUCAGGAGGUGUCCGGCCUCAGAAAAUGCUGCUCCAAAGUCCUUUGGAUGGAAUUGAAUGAGACCUAGAGGAUUCACAAGGAAUCUCCAUUUUGAAGAUGGUGGCAGAUUCAAGAUCAGAAGUCUCACAGAGAGGGCUCCUGCUGAACGCCUGGGAGAAGAAUAGACCAGAAGGAGGCUGGACACAGAGGCUGUGUGGGGCCACUCCAGCCUAUCACCAGGACACCUAAGCCUUCUGUCCAGUUGUGCUUUACACUGUCCUCCAGGCUUCCAAACAGUUUUCAUUGAGUCUUUGGAUGCUCAUUUCUGAAGCCACAUUAAAUCGAGGCUACUUCCUCUUAUUAACCUUUCUUUUUGUUGUUUGGAGACAGGGUAUGAUUAUGUAGCUUUGGCUGGCUUAGAAUUUAUCAUAUAGACCAGGAUACCCUUGAGUCCCUCCUUCCUCUGACUCCUAAAUCUGAGUGCUGAGACAAAAGAUGUGUGUCACCGCGCAUGGCAGCCUGUCUUUUGUUAUUAGGCAUGCUGGCUCUGCCUUUAUGGGGAGCAAGAAGUAUCAAACCUUCCUACUACAGAAGUCCCACGUUAAGGGAAAUCUAGAGUAAGCCUAGAUCAGAGAACGUACUAAUUACUAGCAUAGUUCUUUGACUCCAGGGAUAUGAAAAUGUCACCAUUUAAAACCUCAGUAGGGGACCACCUCAGUUUAACAUCAGGGAAGUGAAUGAAAUCUCAUACCGUAGGGUCAGGCACAGGAUGCUCAUAUUCAAGAACCCAG